CCAGGAGCUGCGAUAGCAUCCUGUUUGUUUCUGGGUGCAAUUUAAGGUGGUGGUGAUUCUGAAUUAUCUCUAGGUUCUCAUAUGGCAGGCACCGUCAUUGGAGUAGCUGAGUGCCUCGAAAGGAGCCGUCACCUGGCAAGGGAUGAUUUCAAUCCAUCAACCUCUGGGCUACGGGGGCAAUACUCUUUGUUUAUACUCUCUCCUAUUCAUCCUUAAUGGCAUAUUUUCUACACUGUGUGCUGAGGGAGAAGCAACAACAAUAGCACCCAUUUUGCCAGAGUUGGAAGAAGUAGUGAUCUGUGCCUGGUAGUUCACUGCAAGAAGGCACAGCUUGAUGCUUUUGUGAAGUUCCAUAACUCCCUUCUCAAAGAAGAUGUAUUUAAAGUAAUCAUCCAUUUAUACCAUUUAUACCUGGCAGAUAACUGAAC